CUGUGCCUCAAUAUUUUGGCUGUCCCUCACCAAUCUUGUUUGAUCUUGGAAGCUAAGCAAUGUCAGGUGUGGUAAGCACUUGGACAGGCUCACCUGAGAAUGUCAGGCGCAGC
rnacentral:rRNA from 1 species